CCUACGGGAGACUGCAGUAGGGAAUCUUCCACAAUGGGCGAAAGCCUGAUGGAGCAACGCCGCGUGGGUGAAGAAGGUCUUCGGAUCGUAAAACCCUGUUGUUAGAGAAGAAAGUGCGUGCGAGUAACUGUUCACGUUUCGACGGUAUCUAACCAGACAGCCACGGCUAACUACGUGCCAGCAGCCGCGGUAAUACGUAGGUGGCAAGCGUUAUCCGGAUUUAUUGGGCGUAAGGGGAACGCAGGCGGUCUUUUAAGUCUGAUGUGAAAGCCUUCGGCUUAACCGGGGUAGUGUAUUGGAAACUGGGAGACUUGAGUGCAGAAGAGGAGAGUGGAACUCCAUGUGUAGCGGUGAAAUGCGUAGAUAUAUGGAAGAACACCAGUGGCGAAGGCGGCUCUCUGGGCUGUAACUGACGCUGAGGUUCGAAAGCGUGGGUAGCAAACAGGAUUAGAUACCCUAGUAGUC
rnacentral:rRNA from 1 species